UUGAUCUCAAAUCAGGUAGGACUACCCGCUGAACUUAAGCAUAUCAAUAAGCGGAGGAAAAGAAACUAACAAGGAUUCCCCUAGUAACUGCGAGUGAAGCGGGAAAAGCUCANAUUUAAAAUCUGGCGGUCUCUGACUGUCCGAGUUGUAAUCUAGAGAAGUGUUUUCCGUGCUGGACCGUGUACAAGUCUCUUGGAAUAGAGCGUCAUAGAGGGUGAGAAUCCCGUCUCUGACACGGACUACCAGUGCUCUGUGAUGCACUCUCAAAGAGUCGAGU
rnacentral:rRNA from 1 species